ensembl:lncRNA
UCUAUAGGGCAGCUAUGGGUAUUAUAGGGCACACUAUGGGGGCUAUAGGGCACGCUAUGGGGUUUAUAGGGCACACUAUGAGGGCUAUAGGGUGUGCUAUGGGGCUAUAAGGUUCUAUGGGGCACCCAUGGGUGCUGUGGGGAAUUAUGGGGCACCCAUAGAUUCUAUGGGGACUUAUGGGCAGCAUAUGGGGCAUGUGGGAUCUACGGGGCACCAAUGGAUCUAUGGGGCAGCUAUGGGGCACUGUGGGAUCUAUGGGGCAGCUAUGGGGCACUGUGGGGUCUAUGGGGUGUGGCCAGAUCUAUGGC